UCGAGGGUGUUCUUAGGUCA
rnacentral:siRNA from 1 species